rnacentral:rRNA from 1 species
UACGUAGGUGACAAGCGUUGUCCGGAUUUACUGGGCGUAAAGAGCGCGCAGGCGGUCGUUCAAGUCGAGUGUGAAAGCCCCCGGCUCAACUGGGGAGGGUCAUUCGAUACUGAUCGACUUGAAGGCAGGAGAGGGAAGUGGAAUUCCCGGUGUAGUGGUGAAAUGCGUAGAUAUCGGGAGGAACACCAGUGGCGAAGGCGACUUCCUGGCCUGUUCUUGACGCUGAGGCGCGAAAGCGUGGGGAGCAAACAGG